AUUGAUGGAGCCGUCAUUAUGCCCUCAACACCUCAUCCGAAGUAAUAUGGGACAAUAAGAGGUAUUAUUCUAUGCCAGAUAUUAUUCUGCCCAGUGGCGUUACUCUGUAACAGUGCAUAUUUGGGGCUUGAAAGGGGAAAGAUGAAGGUGUGCAAGGGACUCGCAAAGAGGAGAGCUUUUCUGGGACGGGGAAUCCUAGCCCAACAGGGGCAGCCGCUACCCAAGACUUCACAGUCAUCAUGUAGUUCAUCCAAGAGGCUGCCUUCCAGCAACUUCGAGAACAGAGUUGGGCAUUCCAAGCCUGGGAGACCCUGUCUCAGAACAUCUAGGCUCCCAGUGUGACAUCCAGGUGGAAAUACCCAAUAGAUGCCUUGGCAAAGUGAACCACGGGCUUCAGAGGAGUCAAGGCUAUAUCAAGGUCAACACCUCAUCCAGUGCUGUGCUGGGGGCAGCUCACACCAGCUCCAGGGAAGCAACUAUUAAAUAUUCUGAAAUUUUGCAAGCCAGUUGUUAACACAGCCAUUAAUAAAAAUUAAAUCAAAAGAAUUAAAUAAAUUAUAUUUUUGAAAAUGUAAUAAACUCU
rnacentral:lncRNA from 1 species